UGGGGUAUAGCCAAGCGGUAAGGCAACGGACUUUGACUCCGUCACUCCCUGGUUCGAAUCCAGGUACCCCAGCCA
rnacentral:tRNA from 1 species